rnacentral:rRNA from 1 species
GAUGAACGCUGGCGGCGUGCUUAACACAUGCAAGUCGAACGGAAAGGCCCAAGCUUGCUUGGGUACUCGAGUGGCGAACGGGUGAGUAACACGUGGGUGAUCUGCCCUGCACUUCGGGAUAACUCCGGGAAACUGGGUCUAAUACCGGAUAGGACGAUCGGUUGGAUGCCAUUGUGGGAAGAUUUUUGGGGGUGGGAUGAGCUCGCGGCCCAUCUGCUUGUUGUGGGGGUGAUGUCCUACCAAGGCGUCUACGGGGAGCCGGCCUGAGAGGGGGUGCGGCGACACUGGGAGUCUGAGACGGCGCAGACUCUUACGGGGGGCAGCAGUGGGGAAUAUUGGACAAUGGGGGCGAGCCUGAUGCAGCGAAGCGGCGUGGGCGGUGACGGCCUUCGGGUUGUGUACACCUUUCGCUAGGGACGAGGCGUUUUUGUGACGGUAAUUGGAGAAGAAGCACCGGCUAACUACGUG